rnacentral:rRNA from 1 species
GACGAACGCUGGCGGCGUGCCUAAUACAUGCAAGUCGAGCGGCUUAAGUUUUCUUCGGAAAACUURGGUAGCGGCGGACGGGUGAGUAACACGUAGGCAACCUGCCUGUAAGAUCGGGAUAACCCACGGAAACGUGAGCUAAUACCGAAUAAGUAAUYCWCUCGCAUGAGGGGGUUAAGAAAGACGGAGCAAUCUGUCACUUACAGAUGGGCCUGCGGCGCAUUAGCUAGUAGGUGAGGUAAUGGCUCACCUAGGCGACGAUGCGUAGCCGACCUGAGAGGGUGAACGGCCACACUGGGACUGAGACACGGCCCAGACUCCUACGGGAGGCAGCAGUAGGGAAUCUUCCGCAAUGGACGAAAGUCUGACGGAGCAACGCCGCGUGAGUGAUGAAGGUUUUCGGAUCGUAAAGCUCUGUUGCCAGGGAAGAACGCUUAGGAGAGUAACUGCUCUUAAGGUGACGGUACCUGAGAAGAAAGCCCCGGCUAACUAC